GCCGGAGUGGUGGAAUUGGUAGACGCGCCAGACUCAAAAUCUGGUGAAGGUUCACCCUUCGUGUGGGUUCGAUUCCCACCUCCGGCA
rnacentral:tRNA from 1 species